UACAGAGGUGGCAAGCGUUGUUCGGAAUUACUGGGCGUAAAGGGCGCGUAGGCGGUCCGAUAAGUCCCGUGUGAAAUCCCUCGGCUCAACUGAGGAAUGGCACGGGAAACUGCCGGGCUUGAGUUCGGGAGAGGGAAGCGGGAUUCCGGGUGUAGCGGUGAAAUGCGUAGAUAUCCGGAGGAACACCGGUGGCGAAGGCGGCUUCCUGGACCGACACUGACGCUGAGGCGCGAAAGCUAGGGGAGCAAACGGG
rnacentral:rRNA from 1 species